rnacentral:tRNA from 689 species
CGCGGGGUGGAGCAGCUUGGUAGCUCGUCGGGCUCAUAACCCGAAGGUCGUUGGUUCAAAUCCAGCCCCCGCAACCA